GGUCUGGGGGAAGUGUCCCUGCCCAUGGCAGGGGGUUUAGAGCUAGAUGGUCUCUAAGGUCCCUUCCAACCCAAACUGUUCAAGCCUCUUCAGUGUUGAGAGGCAUCUAGCUAUACGAUCUGUGAAGCUUGUCUGAAUUUGUAGGGCAGAAUAUGAAAUGCUGCUUUAGGUGAAAGCUGCAUCACUGAUGCAGAUGGUGUAAGUAUUCACUGUGAGCUUCUUGCUUCCAGUGUGAUACUGUGCACAGCUUCAAAAACCAAAGUAUUUCUACCUGGAACUGCAUAUUGAGGUGAAAGAGGUAGUACUUUGGUGAGAAGGAAGGCUACUACUAACUAAUCUUUACUUUGUGUUCUGCAUCUGUUGUGAGAUUUUCCUUCAGUGGUGGCACGUGAGGUGUGCUGUUGCAUGGGUGAGUUGGGGUGGUGCUGCGGGGCUGCUUUCAGCAGCAGGACGUAGGCUGGGCAUCAGAGCACUGCUGUGUUGUGAAUUCCACCAGCCAGUGGAUGGAUGCUCAAGCUGCAGCUUCUGCAACUAUUUGCCCUGCCCCAGAGGGGAAGAUGUGUGCUGGGCUCUGAAACCUAAUCACUGGUGGACUGAUCCUACAUGACAGACAUGUGCUCCUGCAGUGGUAUUUCUUCUGAACACGGUAUGGUUGUAUUUAUGCAUAAAAUGGGAGUAAAGAGAAUGAAGGCUGGUAUAGAGGAGAGCAUUAGGAGUUCUUUCUGAUGGACGUGUUCAGAGUUCUGAGCAGUAGAGCACUCUAAGUUGUCUUCUGUGGGAGACGAGAGUUGUACUCUAUGCAGGUAGUGCAGAGUAGGCUUGUUCCUGUCUAAGUUCCUCUGCCCGUACUUCUGAACUUGUGCAUGUGGAGAGCCACUUCAUUCUUGUAGCGGUGAUGAGACAAUGUGUGUGCCCUGUGUGUGUCCAGGGAGGUGUCACGGAAGCUGUACGUAACUGACUGCCCAGAGUGACUCUGCCUACUGAUGCUGAAGCAGAGCACAGCUCACUGUUCUGAGGGGCACUGCAUUUUUAAGACCACUUCUACCUGAAACUCUUUGUUGUCCUGCAUGCAGUUCUGUAGGAUGGAAUGGGGUUCUACUGCUUGCAGGUACUCAGCAUUGUCAGUGCUCUGGACUUAAACAGGUGCACAGUGGAUGGUGUGAAGCGUGGUGAUGGGGAAUGAGUGCUUUGCUGACUGCUGGCUGAUCCUUGCAGGAAGCAAGGAGGGAAUCCUCACUGGACUAAAACUGGUUGUUCCAAACUGACUUGUGUGACUGAUAGCUUGUAAGAGGAAAGCCCUUCAGCAGCAGGUAUUUGGAGAUGCUCCACACCUUCAGGAGUGGAGCAGCCACUUCAGCAGGUGAUGCAUGCUCAGUAUCUUUUUCCUGUGCAAGUCCAUGUGGAGCCAUGAGAUGAGAGAGCAACCUUUGCUUAGCAGCUGGAAUAUGUGAGGCUUUGCAUCUCUGUGAGACUUCUGGGGGCUUGCACACUGAGGGGAAGAUCCCAGAGAUUCACUUGUUUGGUGUAGGGCUACAUUCUCCUCUUGUAGCAGAUGAUUUGAUUAGUGGUGGACUCCAACUUCAGGGGCAACAGGAGCUGGAACUCCAGGACAUGAUCUGUUUGAUACUUACAGCUAGUGUAAGUUCUCAGAAGGCCAUUAAGCCUAAGGUUUCUCUGCAAUCGGUUUGUCUUGAUCUGUGUCCUUCAGUGUUUUGUCUGUCAAGAGAUUCAGGUAAGUAGCUAGCUACAUGAGUGCAUGAUGGAAAAGUGAUGCAGACUGCUGGUCUGCAGGCUGCGAGGUGGAAAAGCUGAAAGCACAGCAGGUCAGGGAUAGCACAGGAGUAUUUCCUGCAUGCUAGGUUUAGUUCUCAUAAUAGUUGUCUGGUGCUUAUAUUUAGCUUUCUACACUGAGGUUUCUUUCUGUGCUAGCUAACAGGCUUAGGACCAUCAUGCUGCCCUUUCACAGUCCUGGGGAGCAGGUUUGUGGCUGAGGUGGGAACAGCAGGCAAGUUUGAUUCCAGGGUUUUACUCUACUUGUACUUGCUGCUAGAUGUCUACUUCCUGAGCAACUUGCUCAUGUGAGUUACUGGUGGCAGCAUGGACUCUGAUCUCAGCUGAAACUUGGCUUUAAGCUGAAGUUUGGUAUUGUUCAGAACAGAGGCAUUUUACUUGUUCCACACAGCCAAGGAUUGAGGCUCACGAUAGUCAAAUCUUACUCUGAAGAAAUCCUUACAUGGACACUUAAA